GAAGAGGAUCGCAAUGAAACUAAAAGUGUUUGUAUUGGUGGUUGUGCUAGUUAUACUAAAUCAUUCGGUUGAUGGCUAUAAUAAAAAAAAGUGCAAUGCUCCACUCCCCAUUGAUCAACGGUGCGGAAAAAGAAUUCGUAUAGGGUGGACAUAUAACAUGGGAGUAUGCUGGCAAUUUUAUUAUCAGGGAUGUCUACUAAAUAGAAAAAAUCUAUUUAACUCACUAGCCCAAUGCGAGAAGAAUUGCUUAAGGUGAUCUGAACAACAAAAUAUAUAUUAUAUGUUAAGUUUCAUAACGCUUUAAUAUUUGAAAAGGUAAAUAGUAAUAAUCUGUUUUUCUAAUGUAACUUUUUCCCCAAGUGUAACAUAAUCGAAUUUAUUUGUCUGAGGGUUUUCUUUUGGGCAAAAGUUUUUCGCAAAGCUGGCAGUGGUUUUCAGUUUUGAGUUCAUCUGGGUUUUCGGUACCCUCUCCUCACUUUUCCUCACUGCCAAGAAUAAACCUCAACCCCUAACCACA